rnacentral:rRNA from 1 species
ACAACGACUCUCGGCAACGGAUAUCUCGGCUCUCGCAUCGAUGAAGAACGUAGCGAAAUGCGAUACUUGGUGUGAAUUGCAGAAUCCCGUGAACCAUCGAGUCUUUGAACGCAAGUUGCGCCCGAAGGCCAUUCGACCGAGGGCACGCCUGCCUGGGUGUCACGC